rnacentral:rRNA from 1 species
UACAGGGGGUGCAAACGUUGCUCGGAAUUAUUGGGCGUAAAGCGCGCGUAGGCGGCUACUUAAGUCGGAUGUGAAAGCCCUUGGCUCAACUGAGGAAGUGCACCCGAAACUGAGUGGCUUGAGUACAAAAGAGGGUCGCGGAAUUCCCGGUGUAGAGGUGAAAUUCGUAGAUAUCGGGAGGAACACCGGUGGCGAAGGCGGCGACCUGGGUUGAUACUGACGCUGAGGCGCGAAAGCGUGGGGAGCAA